rnacentral:rRNA from 1 species
UACGUAGGGGGCAAGCGUUGUCCGGAAUCAUUGGGCGUAAAGAGCGUGUAGGCGGCCCGAUAAGUCCGCUGUGAAAGUCCAGGGCUCAACCCUGGGAUGCCGGUGGAUACUGUCGGGCUCGAGUCCGGAAGAGGAGUGUGGAAUUCCUGGUGUAGCGGUGAAAUGCGCAGAUAUCAGGAGGAACACCAAUGGCGAAGGCAGCACUCUGGGACGGUACUGACGCUGAGGCGCGAAAGCGUGGGGAGCAAACAGG